GUCAUCGCUAUGUGCAGGUCCGCAACAUCACCAAGGGAGACUGUCGACUUGACAAUGUGGAGGUCAGCUUCUGCAGGGGACGCUGCCUGUCCAGGACUGAUGUCAUCCUGGAGGAGCCAUAUCUCCAGUCAGUGUGUGAGUGCUGCAGUUACCGUCUGGACCCGAACACCCCGGUGCGCUUCCUCAGCCUGCAGUGUGAGAGUGGCGAGAGCGAGCCGGUUGUCCUGCCGGUCAUACACAGCUGCGAGUGCACUGGCUGCCAAGGAGGUGAUCUGUCCCGACGCUGAGCGAGUCUGUUAAACGUGUCUGCGAAUGCACUGCAGAGAGAUCAGUAUGAAGUCCAAAGCACGAAAGAGCACCUCGCUAAAAGCCGGCUGGGUGAUAGAUGGAGGAUUUUGGGUGGACGGAUGGAUGAGUGGAAAAAGUCCCUGUUGAUAAACACAGUGCUCUGUAGUGCUUAGUCAUCAAAUGACUGAAUCCUACUGCUGAUCGUAUAUUUCUUAAAUAUUCUGCAGCCUGUACAUUCUGCUGUGUAUUUAUAGAUUAAAGAUCCUAUGAUACAAGUUCUAAUGCAUUAAAAGAUGUUUCAUAUGUAUGUUUGUGUAUGUAUAUGUAACAGCUGUCUUCUUUAAGUCUG
rnacentral:lncRNA from 1 species